CCGUGCACCUUGGGCAUCGACGAGAUCCAAGGGUGCUGGCCUGGCCGGUAGCGUGCCGCUGCGCGACCGGACGGGUGAGACUCAAAUCAGACGGCUAAGCAUGUAGAACUGUCCGGCGAUGGCUUGCGGACGGGGGUUCGAUUCCCCCCGGUUCCACCA
rnacentral:tmRNA from 1 species